rnacentral:rRNA from 1 species
GACGAACGCUGGCGGCGUGCUUAACACAUGCAAGUCGAACGAAAAGAGGGAAAGAGCUUGCUCUUUCCGGAAUUGAGUGGCAAACGGGUGAGUAACACGUAAACAACCUGCCUUCAGGAUGGGGACAACAGACGGAAACGACUGCUAAUACCGAAUAAGUUCCAAGAGCCGCAUGGCCCAUGGAAGAAAAGGUGGCCUCUACCUGUAAGCUAUCGCCUGAAGAGGGGUUUGCGUCUGAUUAGCUGGUUGGAGGGGUAACGGGCCCACCAAGGCGACGAUCAGUAGCCGGUCUGAGAGGAUGAACGGCCACACUGGAACUGAGACACGGUCCAGACUCCUACGGGAGGCAGCAGUGGGGAAUCUUCCGCAAUGGGCGAAAGCCUGACGGAGCAACGCCGCGUGAGUGAUGACGGCCUUCGGGUUGUAAACGUACUGUGAU